AACGAACGCUGGCGGCAUGCCUAACACAUGCAAGUCGAACGAGACCUUCGGGUCUAGUGGCGCACGGGUGCGUAACGCGUGGGAACCUGCCCUUAGGUUCGGAAUAACUCCCCGAAAGGGGUGCUAAUACCGGAUAAUGUCUUCGGACCAAAGAUUUAUCGCCUUUGGAUGGGCCCGCGUUGGAUUAGCUAGUUGGUAGGGUAAAAGCCUACCAAGGCGACGAUCCAUAGCUGGUCUGAGAGGAUGAUCAGCCACACUGGGACUGAGACACGGCCCAGACUCUUACGGGAGGCAGCAGUGGGGAAUAUUGGAAAAUGGGCGAAAGCCUGAUCCAGCAAUGCCGCGUGAGUGAUGAAGGCCUUAGGGUAGUAAAGCUCUUUUACCCGGGAUGAUAAUGACAGUACCGGGAGAAUAAGCUCCGGCUAACUCCGUG
rnacentral:rRNA from 1 species